AUCCUUAAAUAUCCCUGUCUAACAAGACUUGGACAGGGACUUGUUGCUGGCAGGAGUCAGAGGCACAAAGCAGAGAUCCUACUGAGACAAAAUGUGGUGGAGGUUCUCAACAUUUUCAAGGCAGGUGAAGAAGCACCCUGGACUGGUGCCAAUGCUUUGUUUCACAGGACUGGGAGUUAUUAAUGUUACUGUCUACUUGGUGAAGAACACUCUGUUCAACCGAGAAUUAAGUUGGGUAAAGAAGGAAGAGCCAGAACCAUGGUAUAAAUGAGGUCCAGACCUCUGAAGGAGAGGUGAAGACCUUAAAGUGUUUUUAUAAUGAAAACAGAUUUCCUGGAUCUGAAAUUGUGUUUUGCAAGGUGGACUCCUGCUGCUUCUGCAUAGGAUAUUUUUUUUGUCACUGACUGGGCACCUGUACUAUAUAAAAUCAUCGCAAUCUCCUCUUUCUUUCUUUGGUAAAUUCGUAUAAUUGUGGACAAAC